rnacentral:rRNA from 1 species
UACGUAGGGGGCAAGCGUUGUCCGGAUUCACUGGGCGUAAAGAGCGUGUAGGCGGCUAGGUAGGUCGGUUGUGAAAACUGGAGGCUCAACCUGCAGAGGUCGUCCGAAACCAUCUGGCUAGAGUCCGGGAGAGGAGAGUGGAAUUCCUGGUGUAGCGGUGAAAUGCGCAGAUAUCAGGAAGAACACCCGUGGCGAAAGCGGCUCUCUGGAACGGUACUGACGCUGAGACGCGAAAGCGUGGGGAGCGAACAGG